rnacentral:tRNA from 1 species
GGCGACUUGGCCGAGAGGCUAGGCAGAGGACUGCAAAUCCUUCUACGGCGGUUCGAAUCCGUCAGUCGCCU